CCUACGGGAGGCAGCAGUGGGGAAUAUUGCACAAUGGGGGAAACCCUGAUGCAGCGACGCCGCGUGAGUGAAGAAGUCUUUCGGUAUGUAAAGCCCUAUCAGCAGGGAAGAAGAACUGACGGUACCUGAGUAAGAAGCACCGGCUAAAUACGUGCCAGCAGCCGCGGUAAUACGUAUGGUGCAAGCGGUAUCCGGAUUUACUGGGUGUAAAGGGAGCGCAGGCGGCACGGCAAGCCUGAUGUGAAAGCCCGCGGCCCAACCGCGGGACUGCAUUGGGAACUACCGGGCUGGAGUGCCGGAGAGGUAGGCGGAAUUCCUAGUGUAGCGGUGAAAUGCGUAGAUAUUAGGAGGAACACCAGUGGCGAAGGCGGUCUGCUGGACAGCAACUGACGGUGAGGCGCGAAAGCGUGGGGAGCAAACAGGAUUAGAUACCCUAGUAGUC
rnacentral:rRNA from 1 species